ensembl:snRNA U6 U6 spliceosomal RNA
ACAUUUUCUUUGACAGUAUACAUACUAAAUCCAGAAUGACACAGACAAGAUCAGCAUGGUCCCUUUAUAAGUCUGACAUGCAAAUUUGUGAUGCCUUACAUAUUAUA